GGGAAUUUUCGUCAAUGGGCGCAAGCCUGAACGAGCGAUGCCGCGUGAGUGAAGAAGGCCUUCGGGUCGUAAAGCUCUGUUGCGGGGGAAAAAAGGCAGCAUCAGGAAAUGGGUGCUGACUGAUGGUGCCCCGCCAGAAAGUCACGGCUAACUACGUGCC
rnacentral:rRNA from 1 species